CCUACGGGAGGCAGCAGUAGGGAAUUUUUCGGCAAUGGGGGAAACCCUGACCGAGCAACGCCGCGUGAGCGAAGAAGGCCUUCGGGUCGUAAAGCUCUGUUGUAAAGGAAGAACGGCGCAUACAGGAAAUGGUAUGCGAGUGACGGUACUUUACCAGAAAGCCACGGCUAACUACGUGCC
rnacentral:rRNA from 1 species